rnacentral:rRNA from 1 species
AGAGUUUGAUCCUGGCUCAGGAUGAACGCUAGCGAUAGGCCUAACACAUGCAAGUCGAGGGGCAGCACAUGAGUAGCAAUACGAUGGUGGCGACCGGCGCACGGGUGAGUAACACGUAUGCAACCUACCUUUAACAGGGGAAUAACCCGUUGAAAAACGGACUAAUACUCCAUAACACAGGGGUCCCGCAUGGGAAUAUUUGUUAAAGAUUUAUCGGUUGAAGACGGGCAUGCGUUCCAUUAGCUUGUUGGUGAGGUAACGGCUCACCAAGGCUACGAUGGAUAGGGGAACUGAGAGGUUUAUCCCCCACACUGGAACUGAGACACGGUCCAGACUCCUACGGGAGGCAGCAGUGAGGAAUAUUGGUCAAUGGAGGCAACUCUGAACCAGCCAAGUCGCGUGAAGGAUGAAGGUCUUAUGGAUUGUAAACUUCUUUUGCAAGGGAAUAAAGUGGGGGACGUGUCCUCCUUUGCAUGUACCUUGCGAAUAAGGAUCGGCUAACUCCGUGCCAGCAGCCGCGGUAAUACGGAGGAUCCGAGCGUUAUCCGGAUUUAUUGGGUUUAAAGGGUGCGCANGCGGGAUGUUAAGUCGGCGGUGAAAUUUUGCAGCUCAACUGUAAAAGUGCCUUCGAUACUGGCUUUCUUGAGUGUGGAUGAAAGUANGCGGAAUUUGUGGUGUAGCCGGUGAAAUGCUUAGAUAUCACGAGGAACUUCCAUUUGCGCAGGCAGCUUACUAAACCACUACUGACGCUCAUGCCCAA